AGGUGUGGGUAGGGGAGAAAUUCCAAUCGAACCCGGAGAUAGCUGGUUCUCCUCGAAAUAGCUUUAGGGCUAGCCUCAUUUUAGUCUUAUGGAGGUAGAGCACUGAAUUUCCGCGGGGGCGUCAAAGCUUACCAAAGAAUAUCAAACUCCGAAUGCCAUGUAGAUGAUGAAUGGGAGUCAGACUGCACGAGAUAAGUUGGGUGGUCAAAAGGGAAAGAGCCCAGACCUACAGCUAAGGUCCCAAAGUGCGUGUUAAGUGGAAAAGGAUGUGGGAUUUCAAAGACAACCAGGAUGUUGGCUCAGAAGCAGCCAUACAUUCAAAGAGUGCGUAACAGCUCACUGGUCGAGAGGUCCUGCGCCGAAAAUGUCCGGGGCUGAAACACGACACCGAAGCUUAGGAAUCACGAUGUGAUUGGUAGAGGAGCAUUCUUAAGACCGACGAAGCUGUACCGGAAGGAGCAGUGGAGGGAUAAGAAGAGAGAAUGCCGGAAUGAGUAGCGAGAGGAAGGUGGGAAUCCUUCCGGCCGAAUAUCUAAGGUUUCCAGAGUAAAGCUGAUCUGCUCUGGGUAAGUCGGGGCCUAAGGAGAGGUCGAAAGACGUAUCCGAUGGACAACAGGUUUAGAUUCCUGUACCACAUAUAAACAGAACUGUGGGGACGCAUGUGGAAAGCAUAAGCCGGGAAUGGAAAUACCGGUACAAGCGGAAGAGGUGUCAGGCUGGCAAAUCCGCCUGAUAAGCCAAAGACGUGAUGUGUAGCGAAAUAAAAGUAGCGAAGUGUGUGAGCCAUGUGCCGAGAAAAGCCGCUAUUGUUUUAUAUGUGCCCGUACCGUAAACCGACACAGGUGGAUGAGGAGAGAAUCCUAAGGCCGACGGAAGAAGCAUUGUUAAGGAACUCGGCAAAAUGACCCCGUAACUUCGGGAGAAGGGGUGCCCACUUCAGGGUGGGCCGCAGAGAAUAGGCUCAAGCAACUGUUUAGCAAAAACACAGGUCUAUGCGAAACCGUAAGGUGAAGUAUAUGGGCUGACGCCUGCCCGGUGCUGGAAGGUUAAGAGGAGAGGUUAGUCGCAAGAUGAAGCUUUGAAUUUAAGCCCCAGUAAACGGCGGCCGUAACUAUAACGGUCCUAAGGUAGCGAAAUUCCUUGUCGGGU
rnacentral:rRNA from 1 species